GACGAACGCUGGCGGCGUGCUUAACACAUGCAAGUCGAGCGGUAAGGCCCUUUCGGGGGUACACGAGCGGCGAACGGGUGAGUAACACGUGGGUGACCUGCCCUCAGCUCUGGGAUAAGCCUGGGAAACCGGGUCUAAUACUGGAUAUGACUCCAUGACGCAUGUUGUGGGGUGGAAAGCCUUGUGCGGCUGAGGAUGGGCCCGCGGCCUAUCAGCUUGUUGGUGGGGUGAGGCCUACCAAGGCGACGACGGGUAGCCGGCCUGAGAGGGCGACCGGCCACACUGGGACUGAGACACGGCCCAGACUCCUACGGGAGGGCAGCAGUGGGGAAUCUUGCGCAAUGGGCGAAAGCCUGACGCAGCGACGCCGCGUGAGGGAUGACGGG
rnacentral:rRNA from 1 species